AGAGUUUGAUCAUGGCUCAGAUUGAACGCUGGCGGUAGGCUUAACACAUGCAAGUCGUGCGAGAAAGUAUCUUCGGAUAUGAGUAGAGCGGCGGACGGGUGAGUAACGCGUAGGAAUCUACCUAGUAGAAGGGGAUAGCCCGGGGAAACCCGGAUUAAUACCGUAUACCUCCUUCGGGAGAAAGAAGGCCUCUCUUUGAAGCUUUCGCUACUAGAUGAGCCUGCGUAAGAUUAGCUUGUUGGUGAGGUAAAGGCUCACCAAGGCGACGAUCUUUAGCUGGUCUGAGAGGACGAUCAGCCACAUUGGGACUGAGACACGGCCCAGACUCCUACGGGAGGCAGCAGUGGGGAAUAUUGGACAAUGGGCGCAAGCCUGAUCCAGCCAUACCGCGUGUGUGAAGAAGGCCUUCGGGUUGUAAAGCACUUUAAGCAGGGAGAAAAAGUUAUAAGUUAAUACCUUAUAACCCUGAUGUUACCUGCAGAAUAAGCACCGGCUAAUUCCGUGCCAGCAGCCGCGGUAAUACGGAAGGUGCAAGCGUUAAUCGGAAUUACUGGGCGUAAAGCGCGCGUAGGUGGUUUGUUAAGUUGGAUGUGAAAGCCCUGGGCUCAACCUAGGAACUGCAUCCAAAACUAACUCACUAGAGUACGAUAGAGGGAGGUAGAAUUCAUAGUGUAGCGGUGGAAUGCGUAGAUAUUAUGAAGAAUACCAGUGGCGAAGGCGGCCUCCUGGAUCUGUACUGACACUGAGGUGCGAAAGCGUGGGUAGCGAACAGGAUUAGAUACCCUGGUAGUCCACGCCGUAAACGAUGGAUACUAGCUGUUCGGAGCAAUCUGAGUGGCUAAGCGAAAGUGAUAAGUAUCCCACCUGGGGAGUACGUUCGCAAGAAUGAAACUCAAAGGAAUUGACGGGGGCCCGCACAAGCGGUGGAGCAUGUGGUUUAAUUCGAUGCAACGCGAAAAACCUUA
rnacentral:rRNA from 1 species